rnacentral:ncRNA from 2 species
AUACAUCGCUGGGGGAGUUCGCAAGAACUGAGAUCCGUCUUAACCGGAAACCCUUUGAACCUGAUCCGGCUGAUCCCGGCGGAGGGAAGCGCACUAUUUAGGUC